rnacentral:rRNA from 1 species
GGUUAAGUUAGAAAGGGCGCACGGUGGAUGCCUUGGCACUAGGAGCCGAUGAAGGACGGGACGAACACCGAUAUGCUUCGGGGAGCUGUAAGCAAGCUUUGAUCCGGAGAUUUCCGAAUGGGGAAACCCACCACUCGUAAUGGAGUGGUAUCCAUAUCUGAAUACAUAGGAUAUGAGAAGGCAGACCCGGGGAACUGAAACAUCUAAGUACCCGGAGGAAGAGAAAGCAAAUGCGAUUCCCUGAGUAGCGGCGAGCGAAACGGGACCAGCCCAAACCAAGAGGCUUGCCUCUUGGGGUUGUAGGACACUCUGUACGGAGUUACAAAGGAACGAGGUAGAUGAAGAGGUCUGGAAAGGCCCGCCAUAGGAGGUAACAGCCCUGUAGUCAAAACUUCGUUCUCUCCUGAGUGGAUCCUGAGUACGGCGGAACACGUGAAAUUCCGUCGGAAUCCGGGAGGACCAUCUCCCAAGGCUAAAUACUCCCUAGUGACGAUAGUGAACCAGUACCGUGAGGGAAAGGUGAAAAGCACCCCGGAAGGGGAGUGAAAGAGAUCCUGAAACCGUGUGCCUACAAGUAGUCAGAGCCCGUUAACGGGUGAUGGCGUGCCUUUUGUAGAAUGAACCGGCGAGUUACGAUCCCGUGCAAGGUUAAGCAGAAGAUGCGGAGCCGCAGCGAAAGCGAGUCUGAAUAGGGCGAAUUGAGUACGUGGUCGUAGACCCGAAACCAGGUGAUCUACCCAUGUCCAGGGUGAAGUUCAGGUAACACUGAAUGGAGGCCCGAACCCACGCACGUUGAAAAGUGCGGGGAUGAGGUGUGGGGUAGGGUGAAAUGCCAAUCGAACCUGGAGAUAGCUGGUUCUCUCCGAAAUAGCUUUAGGGCUAGCCUCAAGGUAAGAGUCUCGGAGGUAGAGCACUGAUUGGACUAGGGGCCCCUACCGGGUUACCGAAUUCAGUCAAACUCCGAAUGCCGAUGACUUAUCCUUGGGAGUCAGACUGCGAGUGAUAAGAUCCGUAGUCGAAAGGGAAACAGCCCAGACCGCCAGCUAAGGUCCCAAAGUAUACGUUAAGUGGAAAAGGAUGUGGAGUUGCUUAGACAACCAGGAUGUUGGCUUAGAAGCAGCCACCAUUUAAAGAGUGCGUAAUAGCUCACUGGUCGAGUGACUCUGCGCCGAAAAUGUACCGGGGCUAAACGUAUCACCGAAGCUGCGGACUGUUCUUCGAACAGUGGUAGGAGAGCGUUCUAAGGGCUGUGAAGCAAGACCGGAAGGACUUGUGGAGCGCUUAGAAGUGAGAAUGCCGGUAUGAGUAGCGAAAGAGGGGUGAGAAUCCCCUCCACCGAAUGCCUAAGGUUUCCUGAGGAAGGCUCGUCCGCUCAGGGUUAGUCGGGACCUAAGCCGAGGCCGAAAGGCGUAGGCGAUGGAUAACAGGUUGAUAUUCCUGUACCACCUCCUCACCAUUUGAGCAAUGGGGGGACGCAGGAGGAUAGGGUAAGCGCGGUAUUGGAUAUCCGCGUCCAAGCAGUUAGGCUGGGAAAUAGGCAAAUCCGUUUCCCGUGAAGGCUGAGCUGUGAUGGCGAGCGAAUUAUAGUAGCGAAGUUCCUGAUUCCACACUGCCAAGAAAAGCCUCUAGCGAGGUGAGAGGUGCCCGUACCGCAAACCGACACAGGUAGGCGAGGAGAGAAUCCUAAGGUGAUCGAGAGAACUCUCGUUAAGGAACUCGGCAAAAUGACCCCGUAACUUCGGGAGAAGGGGUGCUCUGUUAGGGUGCAAGCCCGAGAGAGCCGCAGUGAAUAGGCCCAGGCGACUGUUUAGCAAAAACACAGGUCUCUGCGAAGCCGUAAGGCGAAGUAUAGGGGCUGACGCCUGCCCGGUGCUGGAAGGUUAAGAGGAGCGCUUAGCGUAAGCGAAGGUGCGAAUUGAAGCCCCAGUAAACGGCGGCCGUAACUAUAACGGUCCUAAGGUAGCGAAAUUCCUUGUCGGGUAAGUUCCGACCCGCACGAAAGGCGCAACGAUCUGGGCACUGUCUCAACGAGAGACUCGGUGAAAUUAUAGUACCUGUGAAGAUGCAGGUUACCCGCGACAGGACGGAAAGACCCCGUGGAGCUUUACUGCAGCCUGAUAUUGAAUGUUGGUACAGCUUGUACAGGAUAGGUAGGAGCCUUGGAAACCGGAGCGCCAGCUUCGGUGGAGGCAUCGGUGGGAUACUACCCUGGCUGUAUUGACCUUCUAACCGCCGCCCUUAUCGGGCGGGGAGACAGUGUCAGGUGGGCAGUUUGACUGGGGCGGUCGCCUCCUAAAAGGUAACGGAGGCGCCCAAAGGUUCCCUCAGAAUGGUUGGAAAUCAUUCGCAGAGUGUAAAGGCACAAGGGAGCUUGACUGCGAGACCUACAAGUCGAGCAGGGACGAAAGUCGGGCUUAGUGAUCCGGUGGUUCCGCAUGGAAGGGCCAUCGCUCAACGGAUAAAAGCUACCCCGGGGAUAACAGGCUUAUCUCCCCCAAGAGUCCACAUCGACGGGGAGGUUUGGCACCUCGAUGUCGGCUCAUCGCAUCCUGGGGCUGUAGUCGGUCCCAAGGGUUGGGCUGUUCGCCCAUUAAAGCGGUACGCGAGCUGGGUUCAGAACGUCGUGAGACAGUUCGGUCCCUAUCCGUCGCGGGCGCAGGAAAUUUGAGAGGAGCUGUCCUUAGUACGAGAGGACCGGGAUGGACGCACCGCUGGUGUACCAGUUGUUCUGCCAAGGGCAUCGCUGGGUAGCUAUGUGCGGACGGGAUAAGUGCUGAAAGCAUCUAAGCAUGAAGCCCCCUCAAGAUGAGAUUUCCCAUUCCGCAAGGAAGUAAGAUCCCUGAAAGAUGAUCAGGUUGAUAGGUCUGAGGUGGAAGUGUGGCGACACAUGGAGCUGACAGAUACUAAUCGAUCGAGGACUUAACCAA